UUCCGGGAGAUGCACAAUUUAAUGUGCAUUUAUUUGCGUAUCACAAUGUAAUGUGCUAUAUGUAUGGUAUUUCAGAGUAGUGAUUACCUACAAAUAUCAAAAUCUAGGUAUCAUUUAAUAACACAAUCUCCACAAGAUAUUUCUCAUGAUGCUCAAAACAAUAAUGUGAGAAAUAUUAUAAGAGCAAGAAUGGAUCCUUCAAGACUUAUGCCUCUAUAUAAAUAACACAAUAAGAAACAUCACCCAUAAAGAAUAUAUGGAUGGGAGGAAAAGAAUUUAGAAACCAGUCUCAUGGCACAUAUGAAGAACAACAUACAGGCUCUAUGCUUCGUAGUUCUUCUGAUGAUGUCUAGCACUUUAUGGUCAUGUGAAGCAACUGCGAGAAACCAAGGUACAACUGGAUUGUGGACUUCAUGUUCGGCUUUCCGAGCAUGCCAGACACCAACGCCCAACAAUGUUGCUAUGUGCAAGAUUAGCUGUGAAUGGCGUGGUUACAGCUUUGAAGAAAGUUACUGCCAUCGUAAUAUAUCGUGUUGUUGCGUAUGGUGAAUGCUAUGGAAAUGAUGGAUACAAUGCACUUUCAUGUGCCAAAACCUUGUGCUAGUAAGAUAUGGAAACUUACAAUAAAUUAUACAAACUGAUUUUGGCUCGA